GCCGGGAUAAUUCAGUGGUGGAAUGCCGUCUUGGUAAGACGGAUGUCGAGAGUCCGAUUCUCUCUCCCGGCU
rfam:Parcubacteria bacterium GW2011_GWE1_40_20 TT89_C0002, whole genome shotgun sequence.